rnacentral:rRNA from 1 species
GACGAACGCUGGCGGCGUGCUUAACACAUGCAAGUCGAACGGAAAGGCCCUGCUUGCAGGGUGCUCGAGUGGCGAACGGGUGAGUAACACGUGGGUGAUCUGCCCCUUAUUUUGGGAUAAGCCUGGGAAGCUGGGUCUAAUACUGGAUAGGACCAUGCUGUAGGUGGUGUGGUGGAAAGAUUAGUUUCGGUAAGGGAUGAGCUCGCGGCCUAUCAGCUUGUUGGUGGGGUAAUGGCCUACCAAGGCGUCGACGGGUAGCCGGCCUGAGAGGGUGGACGGCCACAUUGGGACUGAGAUACGGCCCAGACUCCUACGGGAGGCAGCAGUGGGGAAUAUUGCACAAUGGGCGCAAGCCUGAUGCAGCGACGCCGCGUGGGGGAUGACGGCCUUCGGGUUGUAAACUCCUUUCAGCCAUGACGAAGCCCUUGUGGUGACGGUAGUGGUAGAAGAAGCACCGGCUAACUACGUG